AUUGAACGCUGGCGGAAUGCUUUACACAUGCAAGUCGAACGGCAGCACGGACUUCGGUCUGGUGGCGAGUGGCGAACGGGUGAGUAAUACAUCGGAACGUGCCCAGUCGUGGGGGAUAACGUAGCGAAAGCCACGCUAAUACCGCAUACGAUCUAAGGAUGAAAGCGGGGGAUCGCAAGACCUCGCGCGAUUGGAGCGGCCGAUGGCAGAUUAGGUAGUUGGUAGGGUAAAGGCCUACCAAGCCGACGAUCGGUAGCUGGUCUGAGAGGACGACCAGCCAAACUGGGACUGAGACACGGCCCAGACUCCGACGGGAGGCAGCAGUGGGGAAUUUUGGACAAUGGACGCAAGUCUGAUCCAGCCAUUCCGCGUGCAGGAUGAAGGCCCUCGGGUUGUAAACUGCUUUUGUACAGAACGAAAAGGCUCUGGUUAAUACCUGGAGCUCAUGACGGUACUGUAAGAAUAAGCACCGGCUAACUACGUGCCAGCAGCCGCCGUAA
rnacentral:rRNA from 1 species